AGUGCACGUGGUGAGCGCAACAGAAUCUACAGACUAUUUCCUGAAGAAGGCGCUGCAGUGGAAGCAGGAGAUGCUCUAUGGACCUUCCAUAAACAGGAUGACAUAUGCUGAAUACAAGUCCAUGAAAGAGAAGAAGGAAGCUGAAAACACUCGACCCAAACUCGAAAAAAGAACACGUCUGAGAUAAAUGCUCUGGCUUUUCA